rnacentral:rRNA from 1 species
GUGGGGAAUCUUAGACAAUGGGCGCAAGCCUGAUCUAGCCAUGCCGCGUGAGCGAUGAAGGCCUUAGGGUUGUAAAGCUCUUUCAGCUGGGAAGAUAAUGACGGUACCAGCAGAAGAAGCCCCGGCUAACUCCGUGCCAGCAGCCGCGGUAAUACGGAGGGGGCUAGCGUUGUUCGGAAUUACUGGGCGUAAAGCGCACGUAGGCGGAUCAGAAAGUCAGAGGUGAAAUCCCAGGGCUCAACCUUGGAACUGCCUUUGAAACUCCUGAUCUUGAGGUCGAGAGAGGUGAGUGGAAUUCCGAGUGUAGAGGUGAAAUUCGUAGAUAUUCGGAGGAACACCAGUGGCGAAGGCGGCUCACUGGCUCGAUACUGACGCUGAGGUGCGAAAGCGUGGGGAGCAAACAGGAUUAGAUACCCCUGUAGUCC